CUACGGGUCGCUGCAGUGAGGAAUUUUGCGCAAUGGGGGGAACCCUGACGCAGCAACGCCGCGUGAGUGAAGAAGGCCUUUGGGUCGUAAAGCUCUGUCAACAGGGAAGAAGUUGCUUUGUAUUAAUAGUGCAUGGCAUUGACGGUACCUGUGGAGGAAGCAUCGGCUAGCUCCGUGCCAGCAGCCGCGGUAAUACGGGGGAUGCAAGCGUUAUUCGGAAUCAUUGGCGUAAAGGGCACGCAGGCGGCUCUGUCAGUCAGAUGUGAAAGCCCGGGGCUCAACCCCGGACGUGCAUUUGAAACAGCAGAGCUUGAGUACGGUAGAGGAAAGCGGAAUUCCUGGUGUAGAGGUGAAAUUCGUAGAUAUCAGGAGGAACACCGGUGGCGAAGGCGGCUUUCUGGACCGAAACUGACGCUGAGGUGCGAAGGCGUGGGUAGCGAACAGGAUUAGAUACCCUUGUAGUC
rnacentral:rRNA from 1 species